GUUUCUGUAUAGGGGUGAAAUGCCAGUCGUUUAAUAUAUAUCUGGUUCUUUAUGAUUUGAAUUCAAUUCUAUCUUUGUUGUGAAGAUAAUAAAGGUAAUAUUUUGGGGCAAAAGCUCAGGAAUGUUUAAUUUAAAUAUGUUUAAUUUAUUGGGAAGUGGGCUUGAAAGUGGCUGACUUAUAAGUUUGUUAUAGAAUACAAAUGUGUAGGAAGACUAUUUUUAUAGGAUUUAUUUUUGUAAGUGGGGUAUUUUAAUAUUAUUGUCAAAUUAAAAAUUAUGAUAAAAUUAGUAGUAUUGGAUGUUUAGGCGAUUGGUAUGUUCUGUGUAAUCGAGUUAUAGUUAGAUUGAGAAGUGACAAAGGAAUUCGGCAAAUGAUUCCUCUUGCCUGUUUAUCAAAAACAUGUCUCUAUGUUUUAAAUGUAGAGUCUGGCCUGCCCACUGAUUAAUUUAAAGGGCUGCGGUAUUUUGACCGUGCAAAGGUAGCAUAAUCAGUAGUCUUUUAAUUGGAGGCUGGAAUGAACGGUUGGACAAAGGGGUGACUGUCUUCUGUUAUUGAAUUUGAAUUUAAUUUUUAUGUGAAAAAGCAUAAGUGUUUGAAAGGGACGAGAAGACCCUAUAAAACUUUAUAUAUAAUUUAGUUUAUAAGAUGAAGUUAAAUUGUAGGCUAAAGGAGGUAUUGGAUUGGGGUGAUUGAGAUAUAAGUUGUAAAUAACUGUCUUUGGAUACGAAAUAACUAUAGGUAGAUGAUUGGUCUUAAAUUUUAGAUUAAAAGUUUAAGUUACUUUAGGGAUAACAGC
rnacentral:rRNA from 1 species